GCGUUGAAAAGCUUCUGGAUGAGGUGUGUGUAGGAGUGAAAGGCCAAUCAAACUUGGAGAUAGCUCGUACUCCCCGAAAGGCAUUUAGGUGCCGCGUGCUAUGAUUUACAUAAGAGGUAGAGCGACCGAUAGGUCAAGAGGGCUUCACCGCCUAUCGCGACCUGACGAACUCCGAAUGCUUAUGUAUAGCAGUAGUGCAGUAAGGGGGCGGGUGCUAAGGUCCGUCCCCGAGAGGAGAAGAAUCCAGACCGCCGUCUAAGGUCCCUGAAUUCUGUCUAAGUUAGUCUAACGAAGUCCGGUCCCCGUGACAGCUAGGAUGUUGGCUUGGAAGCAGCCAUUCAUUCAAAGAGUGCGUAACAGCUCACUAGUCGAGGGUCUGGGCAUGGAUAAUAAUCGGGUAUAAGACAGAUACCGAAGGCGCGGGAUAGUAAUAAUAAAAGUAUCGGUAGGGGAGCAUUCUAUAUACGUUGAAUGGUUAAGGUAACUUUUCCUGGAGUGUAUAGAAAAGCAAAUGUAGGUAUAAGUAACGAUAAGAAGGGUAAGAUUCCCUUCCGCCGCAAGACUAAGGUUUCCCGGGCAAUGCCAAUCAUCCCGGGGUUAGUCGGGUCCUAAGUCUCAGCCGACAGGCGAGGGCGAUGGCAGACACGGUUAAUAUUCCGUGACUGCUGCAUGAUGCGAUUGUGGAGACGGAGAAGUGACACCACCGCGAGCUGACGGAAUAGCUCGUUGAAGAAAUUAGGCAUUGAUCAUGGUAGGCAAAUCCGCCAUGAGAGCUGAGUUUUGAAAGUAUGGCAUUCCCUUCGGGGAAAGCCAAUAGUGUGGGUAAUCCUGCUUCCAAGAAAAUCCGCUAAGCUUCAGUCAUGCAGCACCCGUACCGCAAACGGACACACGUAGUCGGGUUGAAUAUACUCAGGCGUUGAGAGAUUCAUGGUUAAGGAACUAGGCAAAUUAACCCCGUAACUUCGGGAAAAGGGGUCCUCGUUUACUUACGAGGCGCAGAGAAUAGGUCCAGGCAACUGUUUACCAAAAACACAGGGCUGUGCUAACUCGAAAGAUGAAGUAUACAGUCUGACACCUGCCCGGUGCUGGAAGGUUAAGAGGAGAGGUUAUACGCAAGUAGACGCUUUGAAUUGAAGCCCCAGUAAACGGCGGCCGUAACUAUAACGGUCCUAAGGUAGCGAAAUUCCUUGUCGGGUAAGUUCCGACCUGCACGAAUGGUGUAACAGUAAACGGCGGCCGUAACUAUAACGGUCCUAAGGUAGCGAAAUUCCUUGUCGGGUAAGUUCCGACCUGCACGAAUGGUGUAACGAUGUGGGCACUGUCUCAACCGCGAUCUCGGUGAAAUUGUAGUAUCGGUGAAGAUGCCGAUUACCCGCAACGGGACGAAAAGACCCCGUGAACCUUUACUAUAGCUUUACAUUGUACUUGGGUAUCAGAUGUGUAGGAUAGGCCGGAGACUGAGAGUGGGGCACGCCAGUGCUUCAGGAGUCGCUGUUGAAAUACGGCCCUUUUGAUGUUUGGGUACUAACUUGCGAAUAGCAAGGACACUGUAUGGUGGGUAGUUUGACUGGGGUGGUCGCCUCCAAAAGCGUAACGGAGGCUUCUAAAGGUACCCUCAGGCCGAUUGGUAACCGGUCGUAGAGUGUAAUGGCACAAGGGUGCUUGACUGGGAGACAAACAAGUCGCACAGGUAGGAAACUAGAGCAUAGUGAUCCGGUGGUUCCGUAUGGAAGGGCCAUCGCUCAAAGGAUAAAAGGUACUCCGGGGAUAACAGGCUGAUCGCUCCCAAGAGCUCAUAUCGACGGAGCGGUUUGGCACCUCGAUG
rnacentral:rRNA from 1 species